rnacentral:rRNA from 1 species
UACGUAGGGUGCGAGCGUUGUCCGGAAUUAUUGGGCGUAAAGAGCUUGUAGGCGGUUUGUCGCGUCUGCCGUGAAAUUUCGAGGCUCAACCUCGAACUUGCGGUGGGUACGGGCAGACUAGAGUGUGGUAGGGGAGACUGGAAUUCCUGGUGUAGCGGUGAAAUGCGCAGAUAUCAAGAGGAACACCGAUGGCGAAGGCAGGUCUCUGGGCCACUACUGACGCUGAGAAGCGAAAGCAUGGGGAGCGAACAGG